UGGCGGCGUGCCUAAUACAUGCAAGUCGAGCGGGAUCGAUGGAGUGCUUGCACUCCUGAGAUUUAGCGGCGGACGGGUGAGUAACACGUAGGCAACCUGCCCUCAAGACUGGGAUAACUACCGGAAACGGUAGCUAAUACCAGAUAGGAUAUUUGGCUGCAUGGCUGAAUAUGGAAAGGCGGAGCAAUCUGUCACUUGAGGAUGGGCCUGCGGCGCAUUAGCUAGUUGGUGGGGUAAUGGCCUACCAAGGCGACGAUGCGUAGCCGACCUGAGAGGGUGAACGGCCACACUGGGACUGAGACACGGCCCAGACUCCUACGGGAGGCAGCAGUAGGGAAUCUUCCGCAAUGGACGAAAGUCUGACGGAGCAACGCCGCGUGAGUGAUGAAGGUUUUCGGAUCGUAAAGCUCUGUUGCCAGGGAAGAACGCCAGAGAGAGUAACUGCUCUUUGGGUGACGGUACCUGAGAAGAAAGCCCCGGCUAACUACGUG
rnacentral:rRNA from 1 species